rnacentral:lncRNA from 1 species
CGUCAACCUUCGCUAGACUUGUCGAAAUAUCUACACACCUCAAUAUCAUUGACAUUUGUUCUUCGUGACUUGUAUUUGGAGUGCAAUCAAGUAUAACAGAAAAGUAUUUAGAAAUUUUGAGUUUCUCAAUGAUUUUUUUUAUCUCGCCCGCUAGCAUAAGUAUCAACUCAUUCUGAAUUUUGUGUCCUAGAUAAUGAUAAUGAAUCUCUUUACUUUUUAAUCGACGAACAUGCUCUUGCAUUACGGGGUCGAACUCAGCAAUCAUUUGAAUCAUGCUUAAAAAGAUACCAUUAUUUUCUUGAUAUGUCUUCUCAUUGCCCCCACGAAAUGCUAAAUUAUUCUCAGCAAGAGUUUUCACCACAGAUAUUAUUCCCAAUAAUACUUGUCUCCAAUGUUCUCU